rnacentral:rRNA from 1 species
UACAGAGGUCUCAAGCGUUGUUCGGAUUCAUUGGGCGUAAAGGGUGCGUAGGUGGCGCUGUAAGCGGGGUGUGAAAUCCCGGGGCUUAACCCCGGGACUGCAUUCCAUACUGCGGUGCUUGAGGACUGGAGAGGAGACUGGAAUUUACGGUGUAGCAGUGAAAUGCGUAGAGAUCGUAAGGAAGACCAGUGGCGAAGGCGGGUCUCUGGACAGUUCCUGACACUGAGGCACGAAGGCCAGGGGAGCAAACGGG